rnacentral:rRNA from 1 species
CCUACGGGAGGCAGCAGUGGGGAAUCUUGCGCAAUGGGGGCAACCCUGACGCAGCCAUGCCGCGUGAAUGAUGAAGGCCUUAGGGUUGUAAAGUUCUUUUGCCCGUGACGAUGAUGACGGUAACGGGAGAAUAAGCUCCGGCUAACUUCGUGCCAGCAGCCGCGGUAAUACGAAGGGGGCUAGCGUUGUUCGGAAUUACUGGGCGUAAAGCGCGCGCAGGCGGUUCGAUAAGUUAGGGGUGAAAUCCCUGGGCUCAACCCAGGAAUGGCCUUUAAGACUGUCGAGCUAGAGGACGAGAGAGGUGAGUGGAAUUCCCAGUGUAGAGGUGAAAUUCGUAGAUAUUGGGAAGAACACCGGUGGCGAAGGCGGCUCACUGGCUCGUUUCUGACGCUGAGGCGCGAAAGCGUGGGGAGCAAACAGGAUUAGAUACCCUGGUAGUCCACGCCCUAAACGAUGAGUGCCAGGUGUCGGGAAGCUUAGCUUCUCGGCGCCGCAGCUAACGCCUUAAGCACUCCGCCUGGGGAGUACGGCCGCAAGGUUAAAACUCAAAGGAUUAGUACGGCGUGUAGAGUUGCGACGACGACGACGAGGAGGAGGNG